AUUUUGCACAGGCGAGAUCUGCUCGUCCCAUUCUCCCUCCCUGCAGGCUAUGUCAAAACAGGAGGGCAGGAUCCUGCUUAUUCUCACGUUUUAAAAACAUACAGUGGACUUGUGUUUACAGUACUGCGAAGGGGUAUGACGCGUUAACAGCAGAGCGCACCACCCCUGGAAAGAGCCACCCUGUCCUCGCUGCGGCUCUCUCCUUCGAAGACCGAGACCGCAGCUCUCUGCUCUGGGCUCCAAUGCAGAGGGUCUUGCCAGGGGAUGUCUCUGGGCCCCAGGCAGGACUUAAACAAUAUCAUACUGUUGUGCAAACAAACAGCACCAACAAUGAUCUGACCUUGGAUCAGAGCCACGUCUGUCUGGGUCAGUAAGCCUGGGAGUCUUGCAGUGGGGAAAACAGUUUAGGCAUCAGGAUUCCAGUUCCAGACCCCCCGUUUUCCGCUUCCCUGGGACUUAUAGGACCUUCCAGGUUGAAGGAGCACAGCUCAGAAGAUAAAUGGUUCUGCAGCUCACAUCUCAGGCCCCCGGAGUUCAGGAGGAGAGUGACUUUGAGAAAGGACUUCACUGGGGAGUGAAUGACGGAUGUGGUCAUUUGCACUCAGCGUCAAUACUGCCCUCCCCAGGUGUGCCAUCCUGCACUGCAGAGAUCUAUAGAACUACAUUUCCCACACUCCUUGGCAGCCCAACUGCUAGGUUUACUGAGCACCUGCCCCAUGCAAGUUGCUAUCUCUGCUGGGCAUACGUGGAAAAGAAGAUGGACCCAGUGGCUGCCUUCCUGAGCUUACCAUCGGAAUGAACUGGAGCUGACAGCAAAUAGAGAGACAUGAAGAGAACAAAUUAACAAACAAUCAACAGGAGAGCAUUGGAAAGUGCUGAGAGCUCUGAAGAAAUAAGGAGACUGAGCUACGGAGGAAGCUUGGAAGUGGGAGAACCAGGAUUGGAGACCAGGAGGUGUCAGCCUUAGCCCCUGAGCUCUCUGCCGAAUGAACUUUUCUUAAUCUGAAGUCUCUCUCCUAUAGUCUUUCCUAAAACUCUGUUGACUUCCCCAAGUGUCUGCCUGCAAGUCAUUAUAUGCAGCAAAAUAAAUGAGGAGGUAGUAGGUUAUU